rnacentral:lncRNA from 1 species
CGACUCUGUUUCGCAUAUUAUAAUUUUGGGGCAAUAGCCUAUAUACCUCUAAAAAGUUUUCGAUUUUCUUAUUUAUCCCUCUUAAAAGGCUAAUAUUGAAAAUACCCUUCUUAUGUUCCAAGUCUUUGUAAUAUAUCCUGGAGUUAAGUUCCGUGAGUGAGCUGCCGUUAUCUCUGAAAAAUUACCAUUUUGCCCAUUCCAAUAUACCCUUUACCGUAAAAAACUUUUCUUAUAUACCCUUUAUAUAGCAAAUACUUUUUUUAUUUACCCUUCAAAUAUCAAUUAAUUAAUUAAGCACGUCGGGAGCGAGCAGAUGCACGGAUGAAAUCGAUCGCAGCUAAACCAACCUUGGUGGCUGGAGGCAUAGUUAGUUAAUUCGGAUUCAUCAAAAAUUCGGUACGGAUAUAAUUCG